rnacentral:rRNA from 1 species
GACGAACGCUGGCGGCGUGCUUAACACAUGCAAGUCGAACGGAAAGGCCCUGCUUGCAGGGUACUCGAGUGGCGAACGGGUGAGUAACACGUGGGUGAUCUGCCCUGCACUUCGGGAUAAGCCUGGGAAACUGGGUCUAAUACCGGAUAGGAGCCAUUUUUAGUGUGAUGGUUGGAAAGUUUUUUCGGUGUAGGAUGAGCUCGCGGCCUAUCAGCUUGUUGGUGGGGUAAUGGCCUACCAAGGCGGCGACGGGUAGCCGGCCUGAGAGGGUGGACGGCCACAAUGGGACUGAGAGACGGACCAGACGCCUACGGGAGGCAGCAGUGGGGAAUAUUGCACAAUGGGCGCACGCCUGAUGCAGCGACGCCGCGUGGGGGAUGACGGCCUUCGGGUUGUAAACUCCUUUCGCUAGGGACGAAGCUUUUGUGACGGUACCUAGAUAAGAAGCACCGGCUAACUACGUG